rnacentral:rRNA from 14 species
UCAUAUGCUUGUCUCAAAGAUUAAGCCAUGCAUGUGUGAGUAUAAGUGUUAUACAGCGAGACUGCGAAUGGCUCAUUACAACAGUUAUAGUUCACUUGUGAGGCGUGUAUAUGGAUAACCGUAGUAAUUCUAGAGCUAAUACAUGCUGGUUGCGCAGUGCGCAGCAUUUAUUAGAUAAAACCCAGCGGAGCAAUCCGGUGAGGAGUCAUAGUAACUGAGCGAACUUCUCAGAAGUGACACAUUCAAGUUUCUGCCCUAUCAGCUUUCGAUGGUAGUGUAUUGGACUACCAUGGCGAUGACGGGUGACGGAGAAUUAGGGUUCGAUUCCGGAGAGGGAGCCUGA